rnacentral:lncRNA from 1 species
AUUUUUGGUGAUUGGAGAAAGAAAGGGCUGCGGGACUGUGGAAACAUUCUCCACGUGUCUGGCUAUGGGCCGUAUUUCCGUGCUGACUCCUUCAUAUGAUUCCCGUAACAGGCCUCGAGGCAGAUACCGAGUUUCCUACUCUGAUAGCAUGGAAUCUGAGGUUUAGGAUGGCUAAAGUGAUGCAGAGCCCCAUGGCUAGAAUUUCCUUCACUGGUGCUUAGAGUAUUAAUCAAAAAAUGAAAUCUUCACUUGUGUCCAGUAAAGUGUUCCAUCCUGAGAUCUUCUGCUCUGUUUGGACUUCUGCCACUGGAGCUGAACAGCAGAGAAGCCAGGCUGGGUUACCUCUGCUGGAAACCUGAGAAGAUGCCUGUCCCUGCCAAUGAAAUGUGGACACUAAACAGCACCUGUGUCCCUACCAGGAAGGACUUGAUCUUGAUAUUUUGGUCCCAGACAAAACCCUGAACUCCAAGGAAGAAGAAAGCACAAAAAUUUCAUGAGAUGGCUAAGACGGAAGCUUGUGGACAAUUAUUUGCCACCUGGUGUGGCAGGAGAAUGAGACUGGAAGUCCUUUCUCUCCAGAUUUUGGAAGGUGAUGUGCUAUUUAAGUGACCUUCCUAGGACAUUAUGGUCCAGGGCUUUGGAGACUUACCCUCAUCUCACAAGCCCCCCCCCCCCCCGCCCCAUUCUCAAGGGUGUUUUCCCAUUCUUAAUAAGCAGUCUCUAUUCUUAUUUGUAACCAUGUGUCCCAGGUCUAAUUCUUUGCCUUGGAACAGGAGAACCUGGGCACUGCAGCAGAUGCCCCAUAACACAGAUCUGUGCCUCUAACACUAUGGUGUGGAGUCUGGCGACCUUCCCUCCUGUCAAUUACUGUCUUCAUAGUGACUUUACUGAUUUCUGUUUCUUUUCGUCAAGAUCUGACACGGGGAGGGAUCGGGAACUUUGCACAGGAGGAGUAUUGAAAGCACUGAAUGGGUUAUUCUGUUCUAGCCCAAGAGAGCAGUGUAGAUUCGCUCUCUGAAGUGUCAGGUCCACUGACCACAAGAUCCUUUACUGGAUCUUUCUUCUCAUUUCUAUGCCUAGCAUUAGGAAGCCGUUACCCACAACACAAGCAACCUUGCCAAGAGUCACAUAGCCGGUGCAGAUCAAGUUCCACCCAGGUCUGCGCGACCCACUUACUCAGCGGUCCUAAGUAUAUGCUGCCAAACUAUGUAGCAGUGAACCAACCCAGCAUAGAAAGAUUGUGACAUUCACCCUUCCCAAGCGAUGCCUUCACUUGGUGAAACCUUGGAGUUGGUGCCCAAACUUAUUACAGCAUAUUUUAUCUUGUU